rnacentral:rRNA from 1 species
AUUGAACGCUGGCGGCAGGCCUAACACAUGCAAGUCGAACGGCAGCACAGAAGAGCUUGCUCUUUGGGUGGCGAGUGGCGGACGGGCGAGUAAUGUCUGGGAAACUGCCCGAUGGAGGGGGAUAACUACUGGAAACGGUAGCUAAUACCGCAUAACGUCGCGAGACGAAAGUGGGGGACCUUCGGGCCUCACACCAUCGGAUGUGCCCAGAUGGGAUUAGCUAGUAGGUGGGGUAAUGGCUCACCUAGGCGACGAUCCCUAGCUGGUCUGAGAGGAUGACCAGCCACACUGGAACUGAGACACGGUCCAGACUCCUACGGGAGGCAGCAGUGGGGAAUAUUGCACAAUGGGCGCAAGCCUGAUGCAGCCAUGCCGCGUGUAUGAAGAAGGCCUUCGGGUUGUAAAGUACUUUCAGCGGGGAGGAAGGCGGUGAGGUUAAUAACCUCGCCGAUUGACGUUACCCGCAGAAGAAGCACCGGCUAACUCCGUGCCAGCCGCCGCCGUAAUAC